AAUAGAUACCCUGGUAGUCCACGCCCUAAACGAUGCUCACUAGGUGUUGGGGAAGCGAUUCCUUGGUACCGUAGCUAACGCGUGAAGUGAGCCGCCUGGGGAGUACGGCCGCAAGGUUAAAACUCAAAGGAAUUGACGGGGACCCGCACAAGCGGUGGAUGAUGUGGAUUAAUUCGAUGCAACGCGAACAACCUUACCUACCCUUGACAUGUCCGGAAGCCUGCUGAAAGGCGGGGGUGCUCGAAAGAGAACCGGAACACAGGUGCUGCAUGGCUGUCGUCAGCUCGUGUCGUGAGAUGUUGGGUUAAGUCCCGCAACGAGCGCAACCCUUGUCCCUAGUUGCUACGCAAGGGCACUCUAGGGAGACUGCCGGUGACAAACCGGAGGAAGGUGGGGAUGACGUCAAGUCCUCAUGGCCCUUAGUGGGUAGGGCUUCACACGUCAUACAAUGGACGGUACAGAGGGUUGCCAACCCGCGAGGGGAGCCAAUCCCAGAAAGCCGUUCGUAGUCCGGAUCGCAGUCUGCAACUCGACUGCGUGAAGUCGG
rnacentral:rRNA from 1 species